UACGUAGGGGGCAAGCGUUGUCCGGAUUUAUUGGGCGUAAAGAGCGUGUAGGCGGUUAUACAGGUCCGCUGUGAAAACUCGAGGCUUAACCUCGAGAUGUCAUCGGAAACCAUUUGGCUAGAGUCCGGAAGAGGAGAGUGGAAUUCCUGGUGUAGCGGUGAAAUGCGCAGAUAUCAGGAAGAACACCAAUGGCGAAAGCAGCUCUCUGGGACGGUACUGACGCUGAGACGCGAAAGCGUGGGGAGCGAACAGG
rnacentral:rRNA from 1 species